CAGGCAGAGUCCCAUUCGCACAUCUCGGCUCAAGGACAGGGGCCGGCCAGCCUGCCGCGGGUAGCACACAGCCACACACACAGCCACAGCAAAAAGAGCCCAGUGGUGUGGAACAGUCCCACAGAUGCCAGCAACACACGGACAGAAUGGGUGUACUGUACAUGUUCCCAGUGGACACGGGGUGAUGGGUGCGAUGCCGGUCCAGUCGGAUGGAGGAAAGGAGAUGGGGGCACACAGCCAUAUACCUGCAACUGCAGGAGAAUCUUUCACUUAUGACUGUGAAACAAUUCUGGCUCCAGAGCCAAGUGCCGGGUGUACUUUGGCUCUUCUGCUGGCUGAUGAAAUCAUUUUGUUGAUUGCCUCUGCCAAAUUUAGAAAAAUAUAAUUCCAGUGCUUGAUAUGAGAAUGGGCUAUGAAGCAAAUUGACGUGCAAUAUUAACAGAAUUAAUGAAUAUACUGAAUUAUAAUAACACUCUAAUUUUAUAUCAUUACAAUCAGAUGUUAUGAAUAGGGUUGUCUGUUUAGUGUUCAUGGUUCAGCGAGGUUAAAAUUAACAUAUUUGUUGCCAUCUAGUGGUGACAAUGUGCAACAAGAAGAGAACUUGUUUUAUGUAUGGAGGGGAAAAUGCUACACUGGAUGACGCAAGCACUUCAAUGUUCCACAGCACAUUCUGUUUCCAUGCCAAUGCAAAAGAAGGCAGAUGUUCCACAGAUUUGACAGUCUUUAGAUCACGUGCGGGUGUGUUGGUGUAGUGCUUUUUAUACUUUUUAUCCUUUCAUUCAUCUUGAAAAGCCAUUGCCUUCUGUCAACCAUGUCAUUGCAUGUCAUUGCUUUCCAUUUUGUUUAUAUUUGCUACAGAUGUUGCCAGAAGAACAUUAAUGCUUAAGCUAACUGGCAUAGCAUUUUAUUACUGGGAUGUUUUUUCAAUCAAUUACCUUUUGUGAGUUUUUGUAGAUAUUUUGACUUGUAUAAUUUUUGUUACUAUAAUGCAUGUCAUAUGUACGUAAUUAUUAUUAUUAUCCUUAAAAAGGAAACCAUGCAUUAAAUAAGCUUAAUUAAGGCAUCGCAUAAUUAAAACAGAAUGGGCAAAGCCAAAAGCCUGGGAUUAAGUUUACACAAACAGCUCUAUGGUGACAUUUCAGGACAUUUUCUCUGUUCUUUGUUGCUCACCUCAUUAUGGUAAAAAUUAGGAGAAAAUGGGAAAAUUAGAAAUCCGUCUUGCCUUUUAAGUCUUGUAUUUCCAGACAUGGUCUACAUAUUACAAUUAAAGUUACAGUUUUUUCAUCAAAUGAGUGUGGUUACACAGUACCCUCUACCAAAGCUCUCCUCAUUACCCGAGCACUAUAAUAGCAGCCAUGUGCUGUAAUUCACUUGGUUUUCUAUUUGCUUUAAAAAUAAAACCAUUUCCACUAAAUUAAA